UACGUAUGGUGCAAGCGUUAUCCGGAUUUACUGGGUGUAAAGGGAGCGCAGGCGGCACGGCAAGCCUGAUGUGAAAGCCCGCGGCCCAACCGCGGGACUGCAUUGGGAACUACCGGGCUGGAGUGCCGGAGAGGUAGGCGGAAUUCCUAGUGUAGCGGUGAAAUGCAUAGAUAUCACGCAGAACUCCGAUUGCGAAGGCAGCGUACCGGCAUCCAACUGACGCUGAGGCACGAAAGCGUGGGGAUCAAACAGG
rnacentral:rRNA from 1 species